CUCAAGCAUCAGUAGUUUAAAAACUCUCCAGGUGACUUCAAUGUGCAGUCACAUUUGAGAACCAGCUGAGUGCAGUGUAGACAAUCCGGAAUAAACCUGCAAGGAAGGUGUUGCAGAUUUUUAUCCCUAUGUUGGAAAUGAGGAUUCGGAAGCUCAGAGAACGUAAGCAACAUGCCCAGUGUCACGGAGCAAGGUCAAAACCAGACUUUGGACCAAGAUCUAUCUGGCCUUGGAAGCAUCUCCCCUUUGGCCUGGUCUUUGCUCUGUAUGUCUUGUUGACCCCAAAGAAUAAAGUCACCUACAUGUUUCAGUUGACUUUUUAAUUUCCUUAUGAAUGUCAUCCCCACUCCCAAGUUCCCACGAUAAUCAGAAAGGGCGGUUUCCUAGGCUAUUUCCUUGGUAGUCAGAUUGGGAGGAGAAUGGCACUAAUACUAAUACUAAUAACCAUAAUUAUGAGUAACAUUGAUUGAACACUAUGUUCCAAGUGCUCAAUAUGUUCUGG
rnacentral:lncRNA from 1 species